UAAAAAAAAAAUAAUGUGGUAUUUGUAUUAGGAAACCCUCUUAUUCCAGAACAUGGUUUCCUCUGCUCUCAACGAAGAACCCUCUUUAUGGAAGAGGCUCCUUGGACUUCUUGAAGCUUCCUCCACGAGUUAACAGUGAGACCACGACCGGAUUCGAUGAAGGGCCUUAGCAAGAGAACUCGAAAGAGGAGGAACACGCCUAGAAAACCCUAGGUUCACGAUGAUACUCCGGGAGAGGAAAAGAUUCGAAGCGGAGUGAAAAAUAGGAAGAUUGUUCGGUGAGAAAUGUGAUUUAGGUCGUGUGUUCGGUGGAAAAGGACGAUUCAAGGACUACAUCAGUGAAACGGUGCCAAAAUGAGGAUGUAAUCGGUGGAAAAGCCUGUAACGAGGACAAAUGAAGUCGCAAAAUGUGAUUCGGUGAUGUCAAUCACGACGAUGAAGGCUCUUUGAGAGUGAUAAGGUGAGGAGGUUCGCGAGCUCGAGAAAAAGCUAGGUUUAAGUUGUUGGACUCGUUAAAGCUCAAACCGUAGCCGCUGCGUGACCGAGCUAUUGUUCCAUAACCACCAUUGCAUCUUCUCACCUCCUACGAGGGUUACCAAGGUGUUUGAAGGUGUGGACCUUGUGAGGAAAAGGCUCGAGAUGUCUUCAUGACUGAUAAAACAACCAAAUGAAACUGAUGCAAACGUUCAAGCUAGUCAGAUUAAAACCAUCUCUUUAAGCUUCACAGAUCAAGGAUUCGAGAGUGGAGGCAGCAGGAGGGGAUAAGUUGAGAGUGAGAUGUUCAAAAUUAAAGCUAUAAGUGUUUUCAUUUCAGUUUUACAGAAUUUAUUCACNUUUUUUUCUACUGUCAUUGUUAUCCUUGUGUUUUGACUAACAAUAUUUUUUUUUCUUUGGUUAACAGUAUGACUUAUUGUUUACAUAUGUUAAGCCAUUUUACUAACUACGUUGGCUUGUUUUAUUCCCGAGGGAUCUCAUCAGUUAAAGUGGGAUCUAUCUCAAAUGUAUCAUACUAUUGUACUUAUUCCAGGGACAAUAUAUGUUCUUCAAAGUGAAGAUCAUGAGGGUCAGUAAUGGCAAGAAAGAAAGCUUCAGAUGGUAGUCUAUUUUCUAUUUCACAUUACUUUGGACUCCUUUUUUUCUAAUUCGUUGUUGUGUGUCCUGUUUACUUCUUUAGGAGUCAAACAAGAAGAUGGAAAAUACAAGCACACUGNUGAUCUUCCCAAGUCAACAUUUGCUAUAAGAGCUAAUUCUUCACUAAUGGAGCCUGAAAUUCAGAAAAUUUGGGAAGAGAAUCAAGUAUUCAAGAAAGUUGUUGAGAAAAAUAAUGGAGCAAAUUUUAUUCUUCAUGAUGACCCUCCAUAUGCUAAUGGUGAUCUUCACACAGGGCAUGCCUCAAAUAAAAUUUUGAAGGAUACCACAAAUCGUUAUAAGAUCACAAUGGAUGUUGAUAGUGAUCCAUGAGCUGCAUACUUUAGGCAAGCAAAGAAUGGUCUAUAUAUUCGGAUGACACUUUUAAACAUUGUUUUGGCUAGUUUUGUUUCUGAUGGCAAGCAANCCAAGUCUACAAAGCAAAUGAGGAAUGUAUCUGUAGCAGAAAAGAUUUCUACAACUGGUGGCCAAAGCAACUCCUUCGGCAAUUUGUUUUAAACUUUCUUAUUAUGCUUUUAGUCCACUCUUGUAGUUGAAUUUGAAAUGUAGACUUUGACAAUGAAUUUGCUCUGUCUAUUAUAGAUGUAUGAAGAAAAAUAUAGUACUAUUAAUGAUAUUUUUUUGGCAUCAAUACAUAUAAUUGCUUUUAUUUA